AGAGAAGAGAGUACUGGUUCAGAUCAUAUUCAGUGUUGUUUUCGCUUUAUCCUGCAAUCUAUUUGAGCUUGUUCUUUUCGAGAUCAUUCCAAUUCUUUCCAAAGAGGCAAGAUGGGUGAAUUGGAAGGUGGAUUUAUUUUGUUUGAUUCUGUUACUAGUCUUCAUGCUGCCCUACUAUCAUUGCUACCUGAUGCUUUGCAACAGUGGCGUGAGGAAGGAACGGGCUGCAG
rnacentral:misc_RNA from 1 species